rnacentral:rRNA from 1 species
GAUGAACGCUGGCGGCGUGCUUAACACAUGCAAGUCGAGCGAUGAAGCCGAGCUUGCUGUGUGGGGUAGUGGCGAACGGGUGAGUAACACCGGAGUAACGUGCACUUCACGAUGAACUAGGCCUGUGCAACGGGGUCUACUACGGGAAAGGCGCGUCCACCGCAUGGUGGGUGUUGGAGAGAUUGAUCGGUUUUGGAUGGACUCGCCGCCUGUCAGCUUGUUGGUGAGGUAAUGGCUCACCAAGGCGACGACGGGUAGCCGGCCUGAGAGGGUGACCGGACCCACUGGGACUGAGACACGGCACAGACUCCUACGGGAGGCAGCGGUGGGGAAUAUUGCACUGUGGGAGCGAGCCUGAUGCAGCGCCGCCGCGUGGGGGAUGACGGCCUUCGGGUUGGAAACCUCUGUCAGUAGGGAAGAAGCGAAAGUGACGGUACCUGCAGAAGAAGCACCGGCUAACUACGUG